rnacentral:rRNA from 1 species
ACGAACGCUGGCGGCGUGCCUAAUACAUGCAAGUCGAACGAGAGCAACCGGUGCUUGCACUGGUCAAUCUAGUGGCGAACGGGUGAGUAACACGUGGGUAACCUGCCCAUCAGAGGGGGAUAACAUCCGGAAACGGAUGCUAAAACCGCAUAGGUCUUCGAACCGCAUGGUUUGAAGAGGAAAAGAGGCGCAAGCUUCUGCUGAUGGAUGGACCCGCGGUGCAUUAGCUAGUUGGUGAGGUAACGGCUCACCAAGGCCGUGAUGCAUAGCCGACCUGAGAGGGUGAUCGGCCACAUUGGGACUGAGACACGGCCCAAACUCCUACGGGAGGCAGCAGUAGGGAAUCUUCCGCAAUGGACGCAAGUCUGACGGAGCAACGCCGCGUGAGUGAAGAAGGUUUUCGGAUCGUAAAACUCUGUUGUUAGAGAAGAACAAGUGCUAGAGUAACUGUUAGCGCCUUGACGGUAUCUAACCAGAAAGCCACGGCUAACUGCGUG